rnacentral:rRNA from 1 species
UACGUAGGCAGCGAGCGUUGUUCGGAGUUACUGGGCGUAAAGGGUGUGUAGGCGGUUUUCUAAGUUUGGUGUGAAAGCCCCAGGCUUAACCUGGGAAUAGCGCAUGAAACGGUAUACCUAGAGGACGAGAGAGGAAAGCGGAAUUCCUAGUGUAGAGGUGAAAUUCGUAGAUAUUAGGAGGAACAUCAGAGGCGAAGGCGGCUUUCUGGCUCGUUACUGACGCUGAGGCGCGAAAGCAUGGGUAGCGAACAGG